rnacentral:rRNA from 1 species
ACGCUGGCGGCAGGCCUAACACAUGCAAGUCGAGCGGUAGCACAGAGAGCUUGCUCUCGGGUGACGAGCGGCGGACGGGUGAGUAAUGUCUGGGAAACUGCCUGAUGGAGGGGGAUAACUACUGGAAACGGUAGCUAAUACCGCAUAACGUCGCAAGACCAAAGUGGGGGACCUUCGGGCCUCAUGCCAUCAGAUGUGCCCAGAUGGGAUUAGCUAGUAGGUGGGGUAACGGCUCACCUAGGCGACGAUCCCUAGCUGGUCUGAGAGGAUGACCAGCCACACUGGAACUGAGACACGGUCCAGACUCCUACGGGAGGCAGCAGUGGGGAAUAUUGCACAAUGGGCGCAAGCCUGAUGCAGCCAUGCCGCGUGUGUGAAGAAGGCCUUCGGGUUGUAAAGCACUUUCAGCGGGGAGGAAAGGCGGUGAGGUUAAUAACCUCAUCNAUUGACGUUACCCGCAGAAGAAGCACCGGCUAACUCCGUGCCAGCAGCCGCGGGUAAUA